GUCGUAUACAAAAGAUUUGUCUCUCCCCGUGUGUUGCACUUUUGUUUCCGCCUCGUCUGCUGUCGGUUUGUUCCGACAGCGAGAGCCGUUGCAAUGGUAUGGUCUUGGACUAUUGCUAGUCUAUACGGACGCUUGUACACGAUUGGGGAAAGCUGCGACAUCGUUGCUUUCCAGCAUGGAUUCUGGCUUAGAGGCGUUCAGCCGUAAUCCUACACAUGGUAGCUUCUCCGCAUUGACGUUUCCAUCAACGGAAAUGACCAAUUAUGUGAACCAACGGUUCCUCUCGUACUGGAUUGGAUUACUGUCGCAACGACACUUCAUCAGUAGGGUAAAACUAACCUGUCUCACGACG
rnacentral:rRNA from 1 species